UGAUAGUGAUGAGGACAAAUCCUGAUCAUACCUUUAACUCUUUACCAGACUUGGUAAAGAUUCGCUCCUUCUUUCAGCCUAAAACUCAGAAUCUCAUUUCUUAACCG
rfam:Capsicum annuum cultivar Zunla-1 chromosome 9, whole genome shotgun sequence